UCCGACAUCCUCUUCUUCUUCCUCACUAAAGACCUUGGAAGCUCUGUAUUAAUGGCGGCAAUGUUAAAAACUGCCAUUGAAUUUAAGAUAUUUACAUAUUAGACAUCCCUUAUCAUCAUUACCGGCCAUUUUUCUUCCUAUCUGCUUCGGAAAGUAUAUGCAGUCAAUAAUUUUCAGCUUUGAUGUAGUGGUCUAGAAAUUAUUGGAAGAAAGUGAGUUUUCCAGGAAUCCGGCAAUAGAUUCACAAAACCGAAGCAUGUCUGUUUCUUCCCUCUCUAGGCUUCUCGCAGACUCAAUUUCUCGCCGAAAGCCUUACUUUUCAAUUACAACUUCCCUUGCAUUCACUACCAGUUCAUUUGCAGACAACUACUGGACCCACUUGCAGAAGAAUGACUCAAAUUUGGAGGCAUCUCUAAAUUCUGUUAAGACCGAGCUUGAUGCAUCUACCGUCAUUGAGGUCCUACGAAGAUCUGUUCUUGCUCAGCAACAUAUUUCUGGACUCAGGUUCUUCAUUUGGUCUGGUCAUCGUCCAGGUUACAAACACAGUUCUUAUGUUUACCGUCAAGCCUGCAAAUUGUUGGAUGUUAAGACAGAUCCAGUAUUAAUCACUCAUGUGAUAGACGCAUAUAAGCUUGAUGGUUAUACAUUAAGUAUCAAAAUUUUCAAGGUGAUUCUGAACUUAUGUAGAGAGGCAGAUCUUGCAGAGACCGGUUUGAGGAUAUUGAAACAGAUGAAGGAAGAGUUCAAUUGUCAGCCUGACAUGACAAUGUACAAUGUUGUCAUAAGACUAUACUGUAGUAAAGGUGGAAUGGAUAUGGCAUCUGAUUUAAUGAAUGAAAUGAUGUUGUUGGGUCUUCAUCCCGACAUGUCAAUGUAUGUUGCGAUGAUCAAAGGGUUCUGCGAUAUUCGAGAGCUGGAGAAGGCUUGUAAGUUGUUUGAAGCGAUGAGUGAACAUGGUUGUAAACCUAAUACUGUUGUUUAUUCUGCUCUUCUCGAUGGAUUUUGUCUUAAUGGGAGUAUGGAAAGUGGCUUGAAAUUGUUGGAAAGUAUGGAGAAAGAGGGAGGUGAUUGUAGCCCAAAUGUCGUUACCUACACUUCCGUGAUUCAGAGAUUAUGUGAGAAGGGUAAAUCUACAGAAGCGUUGGCCAUUUUGGAUCGGAUGGAGGCUAAGGGAUGUUUUCCGAAUAGGGUUACAGUUGUUUCACUGAUUCAGGGAUUAUGUGAUGAAGGAUGUCUUGAGAAAGCCAUUAAGAUGAUUGAUAGAGUUGUUGCUGGGGGAUAUGUUUCGUUUGGUGAAUGUUAUAGUUCUCUUGUUAUAAUAUUAUUGAGGAUGAGAAGAAUUGAAGAGGCGGAGAAGGUUUUUAGAAACAUGAUUGUUGCUAAAGUGAUACCUGAUGGUUUGGCUGCCAGUUUGAUGAUAAAGAAUCUUUGCUUCGAGAGUAGGUAUUUAGAUGGAUUUUAUUUAUGGAAUGAAAUCGAGAAGUUAGGUUUCUUCCUCCCUUCCAUUGACACAGACAUUUACUCACUUCUUUUGGCGGGUUUAAUCAAAGAAAGUAAUUUGGUACAAGUAGAAAAAUUUGCAAAGUCAAUGGCAGAUAGAAAAGUUCAUCUUAAGAGACCCCUUGAUCCUUAUAUUGUGGAGAAUCUGAAGAGAAAUGGGUCAAAAGAGCUACAAUCAUUUCUAAAAUUAAAUGAAGAGUCUCAAUAGGAUUUCUCCAUAUAAAAUACAAGCAAAAUUGAGCAACAGAUUGCAACUCGGAAGUACUUAUCAGGUUAUAGACCUUCAAGGCUGUGACUAUUCAUUUUUGAGCUGACUGUCAUGCAAAAAUACUAAAAGACGAACUAAUAAGCAGAUCCUCUGUUUCUUAGAGAAGAAGAAUCAGCAGACAUAUUAGUUUACUAGGUGAUUCUGAUCCUGAUUGUUGAUUUCUGGGAGGCGUGGAUUGGUUACGGCAAGUUGAUGCUGAUCGUCUUUAGGUUAGUUUUUUUGCUUAGUGUCUAUACACUUUUUGUCUUUUUGAAUGUUCUAAUUCUUUAUUAUUUUC